AUUUUCAAUUGCGAAUUUUUCGGUCUCUGGAAACACCAUGAUGAACGCAGCCACCUCGUCCAUUGGCGAUAGUGGUGAUGAUACUGCCCCACCGGCACCUGCUAGUAGUGGUUUGGAGGAAGACGAACACCCGUGGCCGUAUCUACAAAAAAUGUUUGCCUUUGUAGGGAUCAAAGAUUCAUCCUACAGAAUGAAGUGCCUCUUGUGUCUGCCUAAGAACACAAAAAUAAUGGCGUUUCAAAUUUCUCCAUCAAACCUAAAAAAAAAACCACAUUGCGCCUUCUCAGGAUAGCCUGCAGUCCUGGUGCAUGCUGAAUUGGCACUGGUCAGCCACAUUUCCUCAUGGUAUCGGCGCACGGCAUAUCUCCAACAUCUUUCCCGCAAUGCUCUCAAGCAAUUCCGUCAAUCAAGGGCCUGUAUAGCUUCAGUGACCUAACAGGAACA